rnacentral:rRNA from 1 species
CCGGCGCACGGGUGAGUAACACGUAUCCAACCUGCCGUCUACUCUUGGACAGCCUUCUGAAAGGAAGAUUAAUACAAGAUGGCAUCAUGAGUCCGCAUGUUCACAUGAUUAAAGGUAUUCCGGUAGACGAUGGGGAUGCGUUCCAUUAGAUAGUAGGCGGGGUAACGGCCCACCUAGUCUUCGAUGGAUAGGGGUUCUGAGAGGAAGGCCCCCACAUUGGAACUGAGACACGGUCCAA